AGAGUUUGAUCCUGGCUCAGAUUGAACGCUGGCGGCAUGCCUUACACAUGCAAGUCGAACGGUAGCAGGUCUUCGGAUGCUGACGAGUGGCGAACGGGUGAGUAAUACAUCGGAACGUGCCCGAGAGUGGGGGAUAACGAGGCGAAAGCUUUGCUAAUACCGCAUACGAUCUCAGGAUGAAAGCAGGGGACCGCAAGGCCUUGCGCUCACGGAGCGGCCGAUGGCAGAUUAGGUAGUUGGUGGGAUAAAAGCUUACCAAGCCGACGAUCUGUAGCUGGUCUGAGAGGACGACCAGCCACACUGGGACUGAGACACGGCCCAGACUCCUACGGGAGGCAGCAGUGGGGAAUUUUGGACAAUGGGCGCAAGCCUGAUCCAG
rnacentral:rRNA from 1 species